rnacentral:rRNA from 1 species
UACGAAGGGGGCUAGCGUUGUUCGGAAUCACUGGGCGUAAAGGGCGCGUAGGCGGCUUUGUAAGUCGGGGGUGAAAGCCUGUGGCUCAACCACAGAAUUGCCUUCGAUACUGCAUGGCUUGAGACCGGGAGAGGUGAGUGGAAUUCCCAGUGUAGCGGUGAAAUGCGUAGAUAUUGGGAGGAACACCAGUGGCGAAGGCGGCUCACUGGACCGGAACUGACGCUGAGGCGCGAAAGCGUGGGGAGCAAACAGG